rnacentral:rRNA from 2 species
GGUUAAGCGACUAAGCGUACACGGUGGAUGCCCUGGCAGUCAGAGGCGAUGAAGGGCGUGCUAAUCUGCGAUAAGCGCCGGUAAGGUGAUAUGAACCGUUAUAACCGGCGAUACCCGAAUGGGGAAACCCAGUGUGACUCGUCACACUAUCAUUAACUGAAUCCAUAGGUUAAUGAGGCGAACCGGGGGAACUGAAACAUCUAAGUACCCCGAGGAAAAGAAAUCAACCGAGAUUCCCCCAGUAGCGGCGAGCGAACGGGGAGGAGCCCAGAGCCUGAAUCAGCAUGUGUGUUAGUGGAAGCGUCUGGAAAGUCGCGCGAUACAGGGUGACAGCCCCGUACACAAAAGCGCAUGUGUUGUGAGCUCGAUGAGUAGGGCGGGACACGUGGUAUCCUGUCUGAAUAUGGGGGGACCAUCCUCCAAGGCUAAAUACUCCUGACUGACCGAUAGUGAACCAGUACCGUGAGGGAAAGGCGAAAAGAACCCCGGCGAGGGGAGUGAAAAAGAACCUGAAACCGUGUACGUACAAGCAGUGGGAGCCCCACCACCAAAGCAUUCUCUGGUGUUGAAGGCCCUGCAAAGCAGCAUCGCGGUGGCGGAGCGUCGUUUGCGACGCCCAACACAAAAAACAAGCGGUGAGUGCUUUGGGGUGGGGUGACUGCGUACCUUUUGUAUAAUGGGUCAGCGACUUAUAUUCUGUAGCAAGGUUAACCGAAUAGGGGAGCCGUAGGGAAACCGAGUCUUAACUGGGCGUUAAGUUGCAGGGUAUAGACCCGAAACCCGGUGAUCUAGCCAUGGGCAGGUUGAAGGUUGGGUAACACUAACUGGAGGACCGAACCGACUAAUGUUGAAAAAUUAGCGGAUGACCUGUGGCUGGGGGUGAAAGGCCAAUCAAACCGGGAGAUAGCUGGUUCUCCCCGAAAGCUAUUUAGGUAGCGCCUCGUGAAUUCAUCUCCGGGGGUAGAGCACUGUUUCGGCUAGGGGGCCAUCCCGGCUUACCAACCCGAUGCAAACUGCGAAUACCGGAGAAUGUUAUCACGGGAGACACACGGCGGGUGCUAACGUCCGUCGUGAAGAGGGAAACAACCCAGACCGCCAGCUAAGGUCCCAAAGUCAUGGUUAAGUGGGAAACGAUGUGGGAAGGCCCAGACAGCCAGGAUGUUGGCUUAGAAGCAGCCAUCAUUUAAAGAAAGCGUAAUAGCUCACUGGUCGAGUCGGCCUGCGCGGAAGAUGUAACGGGGCUAAACCAUGCACCGAAGCUGCGGCAGCGACGCUGAUGCGUUGUUGGGUAGGGGAGCGUUCUGUAAGCCUGCGAAGGUGGCCUGUGAGGGUUGCUGGAGGUAUCAGAAGUGCGAAUGCUGACAUAAGUAACGAUAAAGCGGGUGAAAAGCCCGCUCGCCGGAAGACCAAGGGUUCCUGUCCAACGUUAAUCGGGGCAGGGUGAGUCGACCCCUAAGGCGAGGCCGAAAGGCGUAGUCGAUGGGAAACGGGUUAAUAUUCCCGUACUUGGUGUUACUGCGAAGGGGGGACGGAGAAGGCUAUGUUGGCCGGGCGACGGUUGUCCCGGUUUAAGCGUGUAGGUGUGUGUUCCAGGUAAAUCCGGUUCACUUUAACACUGAGGCGUGAUGACGAGGCACUACGGUGCUGAAGCAACAAAUGCCCUGCUUCCAGGAAAAGCCUCUAAGCAUCAGGUAACAUCAAAUCGUACCCCAAACCGACACAGGUGGUCAGGUAGAGAAUACCAAGGCGCUUGAGAGAACUCGGGUGAAGGAACUAGGCAAAAUGGUGCCGUAACUUCGGGAGAAGGCACGCUGACACGUAGGUGAAGUGAUUUACUCAUGGAGCUGAAGUCAGUCGAAGAUACCAGCUGGCUGCAACUGUUUAUUAAAAACACAGCACUGUGCAAACACGAAAGUGGACGUAUACGGUGUGACGCCUGCCCGGUGCCGGAAGGUUAAUUGAUGGGGUCAGCGCAAGCGAAGCUCCUGAUCGAAGCCCCGGUAAACGGCGGCCGUAACUAUAACGGUCCUAAGGUAGCGAAAUUCCUUGUCGGGUAAGUUCCGACCUGCACGAAUGGCGUAAUGAUGGCCAGGCUGUCUCCACCCGAGACUCAGUGAAAUUGAACUCGCUGUGAAGAUGCAGUGUACCCGCGGCAAGACGGAAAGACCCCGUGAACCUUUACUAUAGCUUGACACUGAACAUUGAGCCUUGAUGUGUAGGAUAGGUGGGAGGCUUUGAAGUGUGGACGCCAGUCUGCAUGGAGCCGACCUUGAAAUACCACCCUUUAAUGUUUGAUGUUCUAACGUGGACCCGUUACCCGGGUUGCGGACAGUGUCUGGUGGGUAGUUUGACUGGGGCGGUCUCCUCCUAAAGAGUAACGGAGGAGCACGAAGGUUGGCUAAUCCUGGUCGGACAUCAGGAGGUUAGUGCAAUGGCAUAAGCCAGCUUGACUGCGAGCGUGACGGCGCGAGCAGGUGCGAAAGCAGGUCAUAGUGAUCCGGUGGUUCUGAAUGGAAGGGCCAUCGCUCAACGGAUAAAAGGUACUCCGGGGAUAACAGGCUGAUACCGCCCAAGAGUUCAUAUCGACGGCGGUGUUUGGCACCUCGAUGUCGGCUCAUCACAUCCUGGGGCUGAAGUAGGUCCCAAGGGUAUGGCUGUUCGCCAUUUAAAGUGGUACGCGAGCUGGGUUUAGAACGUCGUGAGACAGUUCGGUCCCUAUCUGCCGUGGGCGCUGGAGAACUGAGGGGGGCUGCUCCUAGUACGAGAGGACCGGAGUGGACGCAUCACUGGUGUUCGGGUUGUCAUGCCAAUGGCACUGCCCGGUAGCUAAAUGCGGAAGAGAUAAGUGCUGAAAGCAUCUAAGCACGAAACUUGCCCCGAGAUGAGUUCUCCCUGAGACUUAGAGUCUCCUGAAGGAACGUUGAAGACGACGACGUUGAUAGGCCGGGUGUGUAAGCGCAGCGAUGCGUUGAGCUAACCGGUACUAAUGAACCGUGAGGCUUAACCUU